GACGAACGCUGGCGGCGUGCUUAACACAUGCAAGUCGAACGGAAAGGCCCUGCUUUUGUGGGGUGCUCGAGUGGCGAACGGGUGAGUAACACGUGAGUAACCUGCCCUUGACUUUGGGAUAACUUCAGGAAACUGGGGCUAAUACCGGAUAGGAGCUCCUGCUGCAUGGUGGGGGUUGGAAAGUUUCGGCGGUUGCGGAUGGACUCGCGGCUUAUCAGCUUGUUGGUGGGGUAGUGGCUUACCAAGGCUUUGACGGGUAGCCGGCCUGAGAGGGUGACCGGCCACAUUGGGACUGAGAUACGGCCCAGACUCCUACGGGAGGCAGCAGUGGGGAAUAUUGCACAAUGGGCGGAAGCCUGAUGCAGCAACGCCGCGUGCGGGAUGACGGCCUUCGGGUUGUAAACCGCUUUCGCCUGUGACGAAGCGUGAGUGACGGUAAUGGGUAAAGAAGCACCGGCUAACUACGUG
rnacentral:rRNA from 1 species